CGCCGCCCGGCCCGAGAUGGCGGAGCGCGACCGCAGGAGCCGCCGGCCGCCGGGCAGGGCGCGCGCGGCGAGCGGCCCCCCCAGGGGCCCCCGGCCCGGCCGUGAGGAGCACCCACCUGUGUUGCCGUCCCCGAUACGUGGAACCAGCUGCGAGAGGCCGGAGUGCUACCAGGCAGAGCCAUCAGGCCUGCUGGAGUGUUACCAGUGCCGCUACCUCUGCACGGCCAGAGCUUGCUGCCAGCUGGUGGAAGUUCUGCUGACCAUGCUGAUCCUGAUCUGCAGCUCUGUGUCCUACAGCUCGACAGGCGGUUACACUGGCAUUCCCAACUUGGGGGGCAUUUACUACUACCAGUACGGAGGGGCUUAUAGUGGCUUUGAUGGGGCAGAGGGGGAAAAAGCCCAGCAACUUGACACCCAGUUCUACCAAUUAAAGCUGCCGACAGCAAGAGCAGCAAUGGCUGUGGGAGGGGCCCUGAUGGCCUUCUCUUGCCUUCUUGUUUUGGUUGGUGUACUGCGGCUGCCAUGGCAUUUCCCAGCCUGGCUGCUGCUCGAAUGCACCCUGGACAUAUUGAUUGCACUUGGCUUCCUGCCUGCUCUGUACUUCUACUUCCACCUUCUGUUGGAUGCCUACGAUUCUCCAGUGUGCAAAGAGAGAGAGAAUCUCUACCAAAGCAAAGGCUACCAAGGAUUCAGCUGCAGUGUGCAUGGGGCAGAGAUAGCAGCUGGGCUCUUUAGCUGCAUUGCCAUUGUGGUGUUCUUGGUCAGUGCUGGCCUUGCUGUCAGGGGAUACAAAACAGUUCAUCAGCUGAGAGAGAAGCCACUGGAAAUGUAUGAGUUUUAGGGUGGCUUGUUCAUAGCCAAGCUGUCCUACCAGCUCAUCUCUCUCUGUGGCUGCCAGCCUGGACACCAAGAAGGGGCAGCACCCUCUUCCCUGUCUCAGGACGUUGCAUCUGCACUGCUACAAUCAGAAUACAGGACCAUGGCCACAACAAGCACCCCUACCAUGAGAGAACAGCUCCAGCUAGAGCCAAGCUGCUCUUAACCAGCCCUCACAUUUAAAUCUUGUGAAUGUGAGUGGAACAGAUGCAUUCUUAGUUUCAUAAUCCACAUCUGCUCCUUGGCUCUGCCUUUGUUAGCAGUGACUAGCUUACUGCUUGUGCUGAGGUCAGUAUCUUGGGAGUAGAGGGGCCCCUCCAUCUCCUGAUCUGCUCAAGCAAGAUGUCCCAGCUCUCUCAUUGGCCAUAGUCCCGUUCCUCCCAUACAAGGUAGAACUACCAGCGCUUGGCAAGAUACCUUGUUCAUUAGCUAAGACUGCGCUUUUCACUUGACCUUAAGCACAAGUGGACUUCAUCUCUCCUCCCAUCACUGCAUGUUUGAACAACUUUGAUUCCCAGCUGCUUGCUACAGCAGUGCAGGGAGCAGGAGAGAAUGACAUAGGAAGAGAGCCCAGGUUCGGCCACUAAGCCCUGCCACUAGCUCUCCUCUGAGCCUGUGCUUCCUCACAUUUCGGAGUGUCACCUUUAAACCAUGGUUCUGAUUUUUUUUAAAUGUAAUUGAUCGUAUAAGAAAAUGAUUCUACAAACCCGAUCAUUAGCGGAAGGAUACCUCUGGAGAGCUGCACAACAAAGUACUUUUGAGGCAAAGCUACAGAACUCCUCUUCACAUGAAGAAAUUCCACCUUGAAGAUGCUUUACAAGUACUUUAUAAGGAGGAGGCCCUAUUGGGUGGGAGUAGCCCACUCAGCCAGAUGACUGAGUCCAUGUCUACGCUACCACUUAUGUCAGCAAAACUUAUGUUGCUCAAGGGUGUGAAAAAAACCCAACAGCCCCCUGAGCAAUAUAAGUUCUGCCGGCAUAAGUGCUAGUGUACACAGCGUUAUGUCGGCAUAGGGUGUCUACACGAGAGAUCUUACAGCGGUGCAACUGCAUUGGUACAGCUGUGCCGCUGUAAGGUCACUAGUGUAAACAUGGCUUGAGACCGUCCUGGAUAAAGCUGGUCACAACUGCGCUCACAUCAUGGCAUGAUUGUGGCACUAUGCAAGUUCUCUCCAGUGCAUUAACAUAAACAGAAUAUACACCUAGAUGAAAGUAAAAAUCUUUAUUGCUAUGUCCGCUGAAAAGUUGAUCAAAAAUAUUCUUCCUUUCUGAACUGUUCUGUAUAUCUUAGUAAAGAAUCAAUGGAAUCACAUUUUUACCCCAAGGCUCUUCCUCCUUUUGCUGUCACAUACAGUGGGUGCAGUGCUGAAGGUGCAUUCAGUAUAACAAUCUACUUCCACACACAAUGAAAGAGGGGCAUUGUUAUAGCUGCAUGCUAGAGUCAGGUACAUAAAAUAGUAUAUACUUCAUUUUAAAACAAAGGCAUGGAAAAUCGUUUUGCUGCAAUUUCUCUUUAACAUGCUCUAGCUCAUGUGACAAGUUAAAAAAGUUAACACAUUUCAAAAAUAUCAAAAAUACACAAGUUUGAAGAUUGCAAUAGAACAGCGGACAAUGAUUGCACAAAAACUAUGACGUGAACCCACUGCCUUAAGGCCUUUUGGCACAAAACCUACAUCCUUCAGGAGAGGUGGAGAAACUCCUGGGUUACGAGGACCGUGGCUGUAUGUUCUGUAAACUAGAGAAAGGGUGGUAGAUCUUAAGAGCAACCUAUCCCCACGACAGAGAGAGUAUCCUGAAGUGCUUGUCACUUUCUGGAAUGAAAUUAACCCUCACCCCACAGUUUAGGAGUCAGCAGUUUCCAUCAGGCAGCCUCAGCCUCACCUGCUCUAGGCAGCUGGGAGCAAUUCGGAGGCUGCUAACUGGCCAAGAUUUCUUAUCCUCAAUACUUUUUGCCUUGGAAUUAGUUUGCUCUUAUAUCAGAUAUUUUGUUCAUUAGUUCCUUCUACUGGGACCUUAUUGAACAAGUAAAGCAAAUAAGUUAGUGCCUUAGGAGUAUCUGCUGCUGUUGAAAGUGCACACCAAGAGGGAGAGAAAUACUUGAGACUUGACAGAUGGAAUAAUACUAACCGGCAAACUGCAGCCCCUCACUGGGAAAACGACAGCUCCAACUUCUCUUCCAUGGACAGUCUCUUUAUUACACAGAUGCUCUAGGACAGUGGUUCUCAACCUUUUCCAUAUUUUUAUUACUAGAGGAAGGGGAGAGUGGCCACAACCCCCAGGUCAAGAUUCCACUGCUGUACUCCUGCAGAGAUGACAGCAACUGCAACGGUCUGAGAUCAUCAUCAGGGAAAAGAAGAGGCUAUGGAGAACUUUGGUCAGAUAGAAAUUGAAAUAAGCAUGGGAAACUCCUCUUUCUUUGUACUUCACCUCACCCUCAGCUGAGAACCCAUCACUAGGGCUGCCCCCACCAGCCCAGCCUGUCCCCACACGGGUGACAGGGUUCCUAGGAGCUUGAAAAUAUAAGAAAACAAGAAGUAAGUUGGGAAAGACAAGGAAGAAGCUUGCUGCCCCAUGGAAAGCAGGAAAUCAAGAGGCCAGGAAGAGGGGGAAGCUCAGACUGUGCAGCCUGGAGUGAAACACUCUUCUCAUAAGACGUGCAUUAGAGCAAUGUAUCAGAGCAAGAGGAAGCCCUCUGUUCUGAUUGGCGUCUAUGAUAACAUGCCAUGUUGUGCAAGGACGCCACCACUAACCAAUGAAUGUACAGGAUUUGGAGGGAGGGAGCUGGUCACAUUAGAACCUCUUUCUGCUCCAAAUACAUAGGAUUAGAGAAAAUCCUAAGUGAUGAUCACUGUACACAAUUAGCCUUUACUUCAGCAGCUCCACCCCACAGCUUCCAGGGGGCUGCAGGGAAUGGAGGCUCUGUAUCUAUACACUCCAUCUGAACUUUCUGUUUUGCUUUCUCCUGCACUUUUUCCACUGAGCCAUACAGAGCUGAUAAAAUCAGUCCUCUCAAUGACAGCUGCAACACUCCCUCGCAGCCCAGGUUAGUUGGAGCCCAGAUAUCAUGUUCAGAAUCUAAUUACUAGUCGGAGACACAUGCUGGAUUUUCCACAUCAGUGCAAGGAUUCCAAUACAGAACCUUAUUUGUAAUAACACAUACUAGUGUACUAGUGCAAGGAUUUGAUUCACAUUCUUACUCAGGAAGAGGGGCACAUUUUCAUGUCAGUACAUUAGUCGAAGACUGUACAAGAGGCUGCACUGCAGCUCUUCUGUAGUGCUUCUGAGACUAUUGGGCUAGCUCAGAAGUUUGUUAAAAUUAUCAGCAGUGAAAGAAUUAAAGGGGACCUGCAAUUUUUGCUUCUUUUAAGGAAGAGAACCUGAAAGGUUUUUUGUUUUGUUUUUUAAAUAAUUUUUUUGGUCUUCCUAUUUUCACUGUAGACUCCUUGGAUAACUCAGAGACAGUGUGGGAGCGCUCUUGUCCCUUAAUUCUCUCUAGGUUGAUAGAACUAGCAGAGGUUUCAAAUCUUUAAAAGGUUUUAUCCCAACUUCUAAGUUAAAAUAGGUGUUAACAAAACUCAAAGGGUGAGACCACCCUAUGGGAAAGAGGCGAUUUUCUAUGACAUUAGCUAACGCGGUACUUAAACAUGAUGAAAUCCUAGGGCUUGUACACCCUAGUACUUAUGUCAGUAUAACUUAUGUCGCUCAGGGGUGUGAAAAAGUCACCCCGCUGAGCGAUGUAAGUUGCACCGAUCUAAGCGCCGGUGCGGACAGUGCUGUGUCGGCGGAUUUAUUAUGCCGACAGCAGCAGAGCUCUCUUCCAUAGGCAUUGCGUGUCUGUAGUAGCAGGACGGCAGCUGCACCACUGUACCGAUUCUAGUGCGGAACAGCCCCUCAUGCGGAUCAGGCAGUUCUUUCCACGCACGUUAGUAGGGCUAGGGUGUUGGCUACCAUGUGGUAAAAAGAUACAUUUUUCCCCUAGUGAAGACAAAGCCAAGGAGUUUUACGUUCUGAAUAAUAGCUACUUCCUGCUAUCAAGUUUUCUCACAGGAUCUAUGAUGUCAGAAUCCCACUAGUUCUCUAAUCGUACAUUGAGUAUUCCAGGUCAGACAAGACCUGACUUUCCGAUAUAAAAGAGAAGCAAAAAACAAACACACCAAACAAAAUAAUACUCAGCCCAAAAGCCCAGAACUCUUUUGGAAAAACCUUUCAGAUUUUCUUCCUAGACAUAAUAAAUAAGUAAAAUAACACUAGCACUAGUCCCAUAUAAUGUCAUAAUGAGGCUAUCAGUGUUGUCACACCACUGAGGGUAUGUCCACACUGCAAUUAAACACUUGGGGCUGGCCUGUAUAGAGCUGACUCAGGCUUAUAGGGCUUGGGGCUCUUUAAUUGCAGUGUACAUGUUUGCGCUCGGGCAGGAUCCCAGGCUCUGGGAGCCUCCCUCCUUGUGGGGUCCCCAAGCCUGAAUGUCUACACUGCAAAUAAAUAGCUCUGGAGCCCAAACCAGCUGACGCAGGCCAGCCACAGAUGUUUAAUUGUAGUGUAGACAUACCCUGAGAUUACUGAGGCAGCUCCCACCUCAGAGCUAUUGUUCCCAACUCCUGGGCUGCAGACUCAGGAAGAUGAUCUGCCUGGAUCACAGAUGGAAGGUUGUCUUUGCAACCCUUUUGUAAAGACGAAUGCUUAAAUCCUGGAAAAACAGCCAGAAAAGUGCUAGCAGGGCACCACGCUGCAUACUGGCCCAUCCAGGCCCUGAAGGUGGAAACUGGAACACAUUUGCUGACUGGGUGCUUGGCAACUCACUGCUACUCUCCAGAGUUGUUCUAAAAUCCUUUUUUCCUCAAGUGUGCUGAUAAAAAUGUUUGUAUUUGGGAAAAGUUCCAUUUUCCAUCUUGAGUUUAGAACUAAGCAGAAGCCACACAGCUUCAUCUUGUUCACUUCCUGGUCUGAGCACUUGCAGCUGGAGCAUGGGCAGUCCUGGACACUGAUUCCGCUUUCUGCUUCUGCAGAGACAGGCAAGAGCGCUUUUGCUGCUACAGUGUACGAGGUUCAUAUUUCGCCAUGUGUAUUAGAGGGAGUGCAUGUGAAAUGAACCAUCAGAGACCUUCUUGGCACAUGCAGAGCACUCUAGGCUGCUCAUUAGCCUUUACUGCUACAAACAAAACACCCCGAUGGACAAGAUGAAGUCCCCCCACUCACACUUCUUAGCUUCUGCCAGCUGAGGGCAUCACAAAGAGCACAGACUCUGUGCUUUGCAAGGGAUUCUGACUUCAUCCCAUGUCUCGCGGAUAUGGAAGACUCUGCCUUGAAGUGCACACCAGGGGGGUUGCCAACCCCCUAUCUCCUAUGGUUGUACACACUAGCCCCAUCCCUACCCACGAUCAUAUUUGUUAUGGGGACAGCCAAACCCCUCCUGGAACUCCUCCAUGCCUCCUGGUCAUAUCUGUCAUUGGGGCCCGCAACCCUCAUGUCCCAGUUGUAUCCUUCAGGUUGGAAGGAAGCCCCUGGAUAACCUCAUAACAAGUGGUGACAGAACUACCUCAGCUCCCCCAGGGCCCCUGGUGUACCUAUCAGGAGGGCACCAAUUCCCAUUUGGAGGAAUCCCCCCAUCAUAUCCAUUGUGAGGUUACGGAAGCCCCUCUCCCUACAUAGUAAAGUGCUGGGCAGAU